rnacentral:tRNA from 2 species
GGUUUUAUAGUUUAAAAAAAUAUUAAAUUGCAAAUUUAAAGAAAGAAAUUAAAUUCUUAAAACCU